CGUGAGGGAUGACGGCCUUCGGGUUGUAAACCUCUUUUAGCAGGGAAGAAGCGAAAGUGACGGUACCUGCAGAAAAAGCGCCGGCUAACUACGUGCCAGCAGCCGCGGUAAUACGUAGGGCGCAAGCGUUAUCCGGAAUUAUUGGGCGUAAAGAGCUCGUAGGCGGUUUGUCGCGUCUGCUGUGAAAUCCGGAGGCUCAACCUCCGGCCUGCAGUGGGUACGGGCAGACUAGAGUGCGGUAGGGGAGAUUGGAAUUCCUGGUGUAGCGGUGGAAUGCGCAGAUAUCAGGAGGAACACCGAUGGCGAAGGCAGAUCUCUGGGCCGUAACUGACGCUGAGGAGCGAAAGGGUGGGGAGCAAACAGGCUUAGAUACCCUGGUAGUCCACCCCGUAAACGUUGGGAACUAGUUGUGGGGUCCAUUCCACGGAUUCCGUGACGCAGCUAACGCAUUAAGUUCCCCGCCUGGGGAGUACGGCCGCAAGGCUAAAACUCAAAGGAAUUGACGGGGACCCGCACAAGCGGCGGAGCAUGCGGAUUAAUUCGAUGCAACGCGAAGAACCUUACCAAGGCUUGACAUAUACGAGAACGGGCCAGAAAUGGUCAACUCUUUGGACACUCGUAAACAGGUGGUGCAUGGUUGUCGUCAGCUCGUGUCGUGAGAUGUUGGGUUAAGUCCCGCAACGAGCGCAACCCUCGUUCUAUGUUGCCAGCACGUAAUGGUGGGAACUCAUGGGAUACUGCCGGGGUCAACUCGGAGGAAGG
rnacentral:rRNA from 1 species